rnacentral:ncRNA from 1 species
UUUGACUCAACACGGGAAACCUCACCCCGCCCGGACACAGAAAGGAUUGACAGAUUGAUAGCUCUUUCUCGAUUCUGUGGGUGGUGGUGCAUGGCCAUUCUUAGUAACGAACGAGACUACGACAUACUAACUAGUCAAAUAAGGCAGUUAACCCAAAAUACAUUUUUUUGUUACCACUUGGUUCGACAGUUAAUAUUAAUGAUUUUGUGCAGUAUUAAUCUGUUGCAUUUAACCAUUUUAUUUUUUUAUGUUCUUCAUAG